rnacentral:rRNA from 1 species
UGAAUACGAGACGCUAAGGCGUCGAAGUAGUGUAUGUCAUACUUCCAAGAAAAGCUUGCACUGUCAUAGAUAAAAAACGCCUGUACCAUAACCGACACAGGUGGGUAGGUAGAGUAUACUAAGGGGCGCGAGAUAACUCUCUCUAAGGAACUCGGCAAAAUAACUCCGUAACUUCGGGAGAAGGAGUGCCUUAUUAUUAAGGUUGCAAUAACAAGAUCCAAGCAACUGUUUAUCAAAAACACAGGUCUCCGCUAAGUCGUAAGACGAUGUAUGGGGGCUGACGCCUGCCCAGUGCCAGAAGGUUAAAGAAGCUGGUUAGCAUUUGCGAAGCUAGUAACUGAAGCCCUGGUGAACGGCGGCCGUAACAAUAACGGUCCUAAGGUAGCGAAAUUCCUUGUCGGGUAAGUUCCGACCCGCACGAAAGGCGUAAUGAUUUGGAUACUGUCUCGGAGAGGGGCUCGGUGAAAUAGACUUGUCUGUGAAGAUGCGGACUACCUGCACCAGGACAGAAAGACCCUAUGAAGCUUUACUGUAACUUGAAAUUGAAAUUGGACUUUAUUCGCGCAGUAUAGGUGGGAGGCGUUGAUUAUAAUCUUGCGGGAUUAUUGGAGCCAUUAGUGAGAUACCACUCUUGUAAUGUUAGAUUUCUAACUUUGAAUCAUUAUCUGGUCAAAGAACAGUUUCAGGCGGGCAGUUUGACUGGGGCGGUCGCCUCCUAAACGGUAACGGAGGCGUACAAAGGUUUCCUCUGAACGGUUAGAAAUCGUAUCUAGAGUGUAAAGGCAUAAGGAAGCUUGACUGUGAGACCUACAAGUCGAGCAGGGACGAAAGUCGGUCUUAGUGAUCUGACGGUACUGAGUGGAAAGGCCGUCACUCAACGGAUAAAAGUUACUCUAGGAUAACAGGCUGAUCUCCCCCAAGAGUUCACAUCGACGGGGAGGUUUGGCACCUCGAUGUCGGCUCAUCGCAUCCUGGGGCGGUAGUACGUCCCAAGGGUUGGGCUGUUCGCCCAUGAAAGCGGUACGCGAGCUGGGUUCAGAACGUCGUGAGACAGUUCGGUCCAUAUCCGGUGUAGGCAUUAGAAUAUUGAGAGGAGCCUUCUUUAGUACGAGAGGACCGAGAAGGACAUACCUCUGGUGUACCAGUUAUCGUGCCAACGGUAGACGCUGGGUAGCUAUGUAUGGAGUGGAUAACCGCUGAAAGCAUCUAAGUGGGAAGCCCACCUCAAGAUAAGUAUUCUCAGC